UACGGAGGAUGCAAGCGUUAUCCGGAAUGAUUGGGCGUAAAGCGUCCGCAGGUGGCUGUGUAAGUCUGCUGUUAAAGAGUGAGGCUCAACCUCAUAAAAGCAGUGGAAACUACGCGGCUAGAGUGCGUUCGGGGCAGAGGGAAUUCCUGGUGUAGCGGUGAAAUGCGUAGAUAUCAGGAAGAACACCGGUGGCGAAAGCGCUCUGCUAGGCCGCAACUGACACUGAGGGACGAAAGCUAGGGGAGCGAAUGGG
rnacentral:rRNA from 1 species